rnacentral:rRNA from 1 species
GACAUGCAAGUCGAACGAGAACGUUUUCUUCGUGCAAAACUAUUAAAGUGGCGUACGGGAGAGUAACACGUAAGUAAUCUACCCUUGGGUGGGGAAUAACUUAGGGAAACUUAAGCUAAUACCGCAUAAAGCGACGACUCUUAAUGAGAUGUUGUUAAAGCAUUUAUGCGCCUAAGGAGGAGCUUGCGGCAGAUUAGUUAGUUGGUAAGGUAAUGGCUUACCAAGGCAGCGAUCUGUAGCCGGUCUAAGAGGACGGUCGGUCUCACUGACACUGAAUAACGGGUCAGACUCCUACGGGAGGCAGCAGUCGGGAAUUUUGGGCAAUGGGGGAAACCCUGACCCAGCAACGCCGCGUGAAGGAUGAAGUCUUUCGGGAUGUAAACUUCGAAAGUAUAGGAAGAAUAAAUGACGGUACUAUACAUAAGCUCCGGCUAACUACGUGCCAGCAGCCGCGGUAAUACGUAGGGGGCAAGCGUUGUUCGGAUUUACUGGGCGUAAAGGGUGCGUAGGCGGCGCGACAAGUCACUUGUGAAAUCUCCGGGCUUAACUCGGAACGGCCAAGUGAUACUGUUGUGCUAGAGUGCAGGAAAGGGCAACUGGAAUUCUUUGGUGUAGCGGUGAAAUGCGUAGAUAUCAAGAGGAACACCUGAGGCGAAGGCGAGUUGCUAGACUGACACUGACGCUCAGGCACGAAAGCUAGGGGAGCG